rnacentral:rRNA from 1 species
UACGGAGGGUGCAAGCGUUAUCCGGGAUUCACUGGGUUUAAAGGGUGCGUAGGUGGGCUGGUAAGUCAGUGGUGAAAUCUCCAGGCUUAACUUGGAAACUGCCAUUGAUACUAUCAGUCUUGAAUACCGUGGAGGUCAGCGGAAUAUGUCAUGUAGCGGUGAAAUGCUUAGAUAUGACAUAGAACACCCAAUUGCGAAGGCAGCUGGCUACACGAAUAUUGGACACUGAUGCACGAA